UUUGCUCAUAGGAGAUUAGUCAAAUAUUUCAAAUUAGUGUCAAAGUUUUUAAGCUCAAAAUGAGCGAAGACUGUGAACUUUACUGGCCAACUUGAGGGUCGACUAUAAAUACAAGAAAGUUAAUUAGCUCACAUAGACGCACACCUGUAAAAGCACACACACAUGCACACACCACACACACACACAUACAAACAUCUAUAACUGUCAGUUGCUGGUUGUCAAAACGGGCAAGUCAACAAUUUAUCAACGUUUUAAUUAACAUACACGCAGCAGCAGCAGCGGUAGAAGAAGAAGAAGAAGAAGAAGAAGAAGAAGAAGAAGAAGAGGAAGCUGAAGAGAAAAAGGAGAAGGAGAAAGUGAAGAAAGAGGAGCACUUAAAACAAAUACCAGAGGGACAUAAAAUAUUAUGGGGCUGGCUGUUUGGGCUAAGACGUUGGCUUGUCGGGACACGUGCGCGGCAGUUAAAUGAAAAUUUCCAGCACAAAAUGGCGACAAUUAAAGCUUAGUACCUGGGAGCCGUUCUACGAGGAAGCCAACAAAGAGGAAAAGCAACAAUAAUAACAUUCCUGACCAGGCUCAGGCAACUGCACAUGAAAAAUGACUUUCUAUUUCAUCGAGUCUUUAAAUGAGAAACCGCACAGCAAACUACAAUGCAAUGGCCAUCCACUUACAUAGAAAACACAAUCAACAAUGGACGGAGACAUUUAUCUGGAAUGGAAAUAAAAGCGAAAGCCCUAACAAAAUUCCACUCUAAAUUUCUCAGUAAGUGCGGAGAUUUCAUAGUCUAAGAGACCAUAUUUCAUUUAAAACAAAGUUCAGUUGAAGGAAAAUGAGAACUAAUUCAGUAAUUCAUUCAAUUCAAAUUAAAAUUCACGAAACAGAAUUCAUAUAACUGAAAUAUAAUAUCGAAAUCUUCCAGUUAUUAUCUCAAGUUGAAUCAAAAAAAAGAUGACAACAUUAUUUAAUAUUGGGUUACCACACUUCCAAACAACAAUAAA